AUUGAACGCUGGCGGCAUGCUUUACACAUGCAAGUCGAACGGUAACAGGCCUUCGGGUGCUGACGAGUGGCGAACGGGUGAGUAAUGCAUCGGAACGUGCCCAGAGGUGGGGGAUAACGCAGCGAAAGCUGUGCUAAUACCGCAUGUGAUCUGAGGAUGAAAGCGGGGGACCAAGCAGCAAUGUUUGGCCUCGCGCCUCUGGAGCGGCCGAUGUCAGAUUAGGUAGUUGGUGGGGUAAAGGCCUACCAAGCCGACGAUCUGUAGCUGGUCUGAGAGGACGACCAGCCACACUGGGACUGAGACACGGCCCAGACUCCUACGGGAGGCAGCAGUGGGGAAUUUUGGACAAUGGGCGCAAGCCUGAUCCAGCAAAGCCGCGUGCGGGAAGAAGGCCUUCGGGUUGUAAACCGCUUUUGUACGGAACGAAAAGGCUCUGGCUAAUACCUGGGGCUGAUGACGGUACCGUAAGAAUAAGCACCGGCUAACUACGUG
rnacentral:rRNA from 1 species